rnacentral:rRNA from 3 species
AAAUUGAAGAGUUUGAUCAUGGCUCAGAUUGAACGCUGGCGGCAGGCCUAACACAUGCAAGUCGAACGGUAACAGGAAGCAGCUUGCUGCUUUGCUGACGAGUGGCGGACGGGUGAGUAAUGUCUGGGAAACUGCCUGAUGGAGGGGGAUAACUACUGGAAACGGUGGCUAAUACCGCAUAACGUCGCAAGACCAAAGAGGGGGACCUUCGGGCCUCUUGCCAUCAGAUGUGCCCAGAUGGGAUUAGCUAGUUGGUGAGGUAACGGCUCACCAAGGCGACGAUCCCUAGCUGGUCUGAGAGGAUGACCAGCCACACUGGAACUGAGACACGGUCCAGACUCCUACGGGAGGCAGCAGUGGGGAAUAUUGCACAAUGGGCGCAAGCCUGAUGCAGCCAUGCCGCGUGUAUGAAGAAGGCCUUAGGGUUGUAAAGUACUUUCAGCGGGGAG